UUACGGUAAAUAAUUAAUUGAAACAUCGACUAGACGUUAUGUUAAUAUCAAUUCUAUGUCAAGCCAGUUAUGUAGCUUGCAGCUAAUUUUGAGUCUGUGAUUUGAUAUCAUCAAGAGUUGGAGUUUGGCCAUUGCAAAGUCGUCGUUGACUAUUGCACGUGGAGAAGGCUUGAAGGCAUCAGGCUGUGGAGCAUCAAUGACAUGCUCAUUUCCUUAUGGAUCUGGUAGUGUGACGUUGGCGUGUGGACUAGAGAAAUGGGCGUGUCAAUAGCUGUUGAAUGUCAUUCGACUGACGACUGUCAACGGCACUGAGUUCUUACAGCAAGCUCCAGACACUGAGACUGGAGAUAGUUGGGCUGAGGUGAUCGGUGAUACGAUACGACAGCUGGAGCAAGACAAAACGAUUGCGAAUCCAAUGGUUGCUGAAUGUGACAUUCGUUCAACUGCCAGGCCAUUGCUUGAUGCUCAUAAUAGUGAACUGAUAGCCGCCAUGCAAGACCCUGAUGCCGACGUUCCACUUGGCGAGCACAAGAAUGGACUGAAAACACACAAAGACUGGUUUGCUGGUUGUGAGUUAAUUGAGUGGUUGUUGUCGUGGUCGUUUGUCACAAUGAGGGAGGAAGGAUGUCAAUUAGCAAACAGUCUGUUGUGGGAAGGUUGAGUAAAGAUUCGUUCAAGAAGCAUUCGCAUUUGAAGAAGUUGGCAUUUGUGGAUGGUGUAGGAGCUGGAGAAUCUUCUAUUGGACAGACACGGACACAUCAAGCUUGCAGACUUUGGUCUUUGUAAAGAAGACAUCACGAAAGACACAACGACCAGCACCUUCUGUGGAACACCAGAAUAUCUAGCACCCGAGGUUUUAGAAGAAAGUGAUUACGUCGAGCUGUGACUGGUGGUGUGUGGGUGUGGUCAUGUAUGAGAUGAUUUUUGGUCGGCUGCCGUUUUAUAACAGAGACCAUGAAGUGUUGUUUGAGCUCAUUCUUUCUGAAGCAAUCAAGUUUUCUCAAUGAGCGUCUUCUUUGUCAAGAUCUUUGCCAGCUGGACUGCUGGGAAGGAUCCAUGGAAAAGACUUGGUGAGGUGACCGUGGUGCAUGUGAGAUUAUGGAGCAUGCCUUCUAUAGCAGCAUCAACUGCCAGGACGUUUACGAUCGAAAGG